rnacentral:rRNA from 1 species
AGCAGCCGCGGUAAAUUCCAGCUCCAAUAGCGUAUAUUAAAGUUGUUGCAGUUAAAAAGCUCGUAGUUGAAUUUCGGGAUCAGUACGCUGGUCGUGCCUUCGGUAUGCACUGGUGUCACAGGUUCCUACCUUCUGAAGAACCAUCAUGCCUUUCAGUUGGUGUGGCGGGGAAUCAGGACUGUUACUUUGAAAAAAUUAGAGUGUUUAAAGCAGGCUCGCGCUUGAAUACAUUAGCAUGGAAUAAUGAAAUAGGACGUUUGACCCUAUUUUGUUGGUUUCUGGGAUCGACGUAAUGAUUAAUAGGGAUAGUUGGGGGCAUUAGUAUUCAAUUGUCAGAGGUGAAAUUCUUGGAUUUAUUGAGGACCAACUACUGCGAAAGCAUUUGCCAAGGAUGUUUUCU